GACGAACGCUGGCGGCGUGCUUAACACAUGCAAGUCGAACGGAAAGGCCCUGCUUUUGUGGGGUGCUCGAGUGGCGAACGGGUGAGUAACACGUGAGUAACCUGCCCUUGACUUUGGGAUAACUUCAGGAAACUGGGGCUAAUACCGGAUAGGAGCUCCACCUGCAUGGGGGGGGUUGGACAGUUUCGGCGGUUGGGGAUGGACUGGCCGCUGCACAUCUUGUUGGUGGGGUAGUGGCUUACCAAGGCUUUGACGGCUAGCCGGCAUGAGAGGGUGACGGGCCACAUGGGGACUGAGAUACGGCCCAGACUCCUACGGGAGGCAGCAGUGGGGAAUAUUGCACAAUGGGCGGAAGCAUGAUGCAGCAACUCCGCGUGCGGGAAGACGGCCGUCGGGUUGUAAACCGCUUUCGCCUGUGACGAAGCGUGAGUGACGGUAAUGGGUAAAGAAGCACCGGCUAACUACGUG
rnacentral:rRNA from 1 species